GGGUAUAUAGCUCAGUGGUAGAGCAUGUGCUUAGCAUGCACAGGGUCCCAGAUUCAACCCCCAGUACCCCCA
rnacentral:tRNA from 1 species